UGUUCUUAAUAUACUUAAGCAGCACGCUCCCGAUCUCGUCUGAUCUCGGAAGCUAAGCAGGGUCGGGCCUGGUUAGUACUUGGAUGGGAGCAUUUUGAUAUUUAAAUUUUGUUUCAUAAAAC
ensembl:rRNA 5S_rRNA 5S ribosomal RNA